UGGGUAACCUGCCUUAUAGUGGGGGAGUAGCCUUUCGAAAGGAAGAUUAAUACGCAUAAGAUUGUAGUAUCGCAUGAUAUAGCAAUUAAAGGAGCAAUUCGCUAUAAGAUGGACCCGCGUCGCAUUAGCUAGUUGGUGAGGUAAUGGCUCACCAAGGCGACGAUGCGUAGCCGACCUGAGAGGGUGAUUGGCCACAUUGGGACUGAGACACGGCCCAGACUCCUACGGGAGGCAGCAUG
rnacentral:rRNA from 1 species